CCUACGGGUGGCAGCAGUGAGGAAUAUUGGUCAAUGGGCGCGAGCCUGAACCAGCCAAGUAGCGUGAAGGAUGACGGCUCUCCGGUUUGUAAACUUCUUUUAUAUGGGAAUAAAGUGAGGCACGUGUUCCUUUUUGUAUGUACAAUAUGAAUAAGCAUCGGCUAACUCCGUGCCAGCAGCCGCGGUAAUACGGAGGAUGCGAGCGUUAUCCGGAUUUAUUGGGUUUAAAGGGUGCGUAGGUGGGUAAUUAAGUCAGCGGUGAAAGGUUGUGGCUCAACCAUAAAAUUGCAGUUGAAACUGGAUGACUUGAGUAUAUUUGAGGUAGGCGGAAUGCGUGGUGUAGCGGUGAAAUGCUUAGAUAUCACGCAGAACUCCGAUUGCGAAGGCAGCUUACUAAACUGUAACUGACACUGAAGCUCGAAAGCGUGGGUAUCAAACAGGAUUAGAUACCCGAGUAGUC
rnacentral:rRNA from 1 species